AUAAUCUCCAUAAAUUGACCUCGGAUCAGGUAGGGAUACCC
rnacentral:rRNA from 1 species